GGGCAAGGCGGAGCACCAGAUGGAGCCUCUGUGGUGCUCCCGCACACACAGGAGUAGUGAGUAGCCCGGCCUCUAGGUAUGGGGGUCCCUGGAGAGCCAUGUCCCCGCUGCUGUGAGCCCUGUGGGGCAGGAGUGCGCUACCCUUCCGGCGGACCGGUGGCUGUGGAGGCCGCGCACUGGCCCCAAGAGUGAGGCCGGCACCGGGAGAGACAUGGGAGUGCGCGCUGCAGAGGGAACAGCGGGGUGCUGGGGAGGUGCAAGGGGCUGGCUGCCCGCGGACUUUGGUGGUGGGGUCUGGUGGACGGUUUCGGCCCCCGAGUGCCUACGGCGCCGCGAUGGACCCGGCCGGUGGGCUGGGGGCACUGCGGAGGUGACGGAAGGAGGCUCGGCAUCCCUGGG